rnacentral:lncRNA from 1 species
ACCAAGCACUGCCGCCUCCGCCUCCCCCUCACGCCGUCCCCGUCGCCUCGCGCCGCCGCCUCCACCCCCGCCGCCGCCUCCCCAUCGCGCUGCCACCUCCGCCUCCCGCCGUCCCCAUCGCCGGCCGAGCUGCCGCCGUCCGUCUCCCCUCCGCCCUCUCUUCCCCCACUCUCUCCUUCUCCCUUUCCCUCUCCCUCCGCCGUCUCCUCCCCCACCCUCGCCUCCGCCUUCCCCUCGCGCCAUUGCCUCCGCCUACGCAGCCGCUGUCGUCGCGUCACCGUCUCCAAGCGCCUCUGCUUCCGCAUCCCCCUCGCGUCGUCGCCAUCAUCGUCCCCGUCGCCCUGCGCCGCUGGCGCCAUUGCGUCGCCGUCUCCGCCUCCGGCCUCCGUCAACGACGAGGUCGGAGCGCCGACGGCUGCAUCACAGGCGGCGCGAAAAGCUGAGGGCCCAAUCCUGGCGGCGGGACUGCCGCGAGGUUCCGGACGCAUCAACUCGAGGGGGAGACGGCGGAGGGAGUGGGGGUUGAGGCGGGCGCGGUCUUCGUCCUCCCGGCGCCAGAUCUGCUUCUCAUCUCCACAAGGACACCCCAGCCCACCACUCAUCAGCGUCGCCAUGGUCGUCGGCGUCGCCCUCACUGUCGCCGUCGCCAACAGACUGCGUUAAGAAGCCACUCCACCACCAGCAGCAGCAGGGGCAUCCACCGUACGCCGCACCAAUGCCUUCCCCUUCCCUCCCAUCUGUGCCCUCUGGGUCACAGGUAGUCGCUUCAUCGGCAGCCGCGUUGCCGUCAAUGUACAAGGCCAAUGACCAGCAGCGAGCAACUCAUGGCACCAGAGACGGCGGUGGCGACGGUGACUACUAAACUCUUGGCACAGGAGCUUACAAAGGAUGUGCAGGUGAACUCUAGAAGAAAGUUCGAAAAAUGGGACAUUGCAAUCACAACAUUGGAACCUAAUAUCAACACUAUGCUCAUUGCCAUAGUGUCAAGUAAAGAAAGGGACUACAAUGCUUAUUCAAAGGAUUAUAUGUCUUCCAUAGUGAAGCAGUCUUGCACUAAUACUAGAAGCUGCUUUAGAGAUGGAGACAUCCCAUCAAAAAUCUGCAAUUACCCAAUGAUGUUGUGCCUGAGGAUCAUAUAAAUGACUCUGAUCAAUCCUCCACCUUAGCUGGUUGCUCUGCUUGCUGUGACCAUGCCACGACAUCCGAAAACACAGAGGACCAGUGUUGUGCUUGAGGAUCAUAUAAACGACUCUGAUCAAUCCUCCACCAUAGCUGGUUGUUCUGCUUGCUGUGACCAUGCCAUGACAUCUGAAAACACAGAGGACCAGAGGUUUCAGUCAAUUGCAAAUAAUAUGAGAUUGGUUGACUUAAAAUUGAGGAUGGUGUGGUUUGACACCUUUGGAUUGCAUACCAGAAUUUUCCAUGUUCUUCAGCUCUCAAUAAUUCAUCUUCAGGAGUCCAGGAGUUGGAGCCAUGCAAACAUGCAUCAUGCUAAUGUCGUCCUGAGCUUCCAGAUUAGGCCCUGCUGUAUUGAUCAAUAUAUUCAGCAUGAUGACAGCAUUAUUUCUAUACAUGGGGAUAUUGUGUAUCCGGAUAAGAAUAGCAUUAUUUGUAGGGUGGAGGCUAUAGAAAAAUAUUUCAGCCUUGAAACAGUCAAGGACAUUGUGGAAGCCAUGGUGAGUGAUGCUUCAGUUGUUUUAUACUUCCAAAUCUCUGGGCAUGGUAUGUGCUCCUUUUCAUUUAAACAUGAGUAA